rnacentral:tRNA from 1 species
GGUGAUAUACUUUAUAUAGAAGAUUUGGUUUGCAUCUAAAUAGAAGGAUUAUGUCCUUAUUACCA